rnacentral:rRNA from 1 species
CAAGCGUUAAUCGGAAUUACUGGGCGUAAAGCGUGCGCAGGCGGUUAUGUAAGACAGUUGUGAAAUCCCCGGGCUCAACCUGGGAACUGCAUCUGUGACUGCAUCGCUGGAGUGCGGCAGAGGGGGAUGGAAUUCCGCGUGUAGCAGUGAAAUGCGUAGAUAUGCGGAGGAACACCGAUGGCGAAGGCAAUCCCCUGGGCCUGCACUGACGCUCAUGCACGAAAGCGUGGGGAGCAAACAGG